rnacentral:snRNA from 1 species
AUACUUACCUGGCAGGGAGACACCAUGAUCAGGAAGGUGGUUUUCCCAGGGCGAGGCUCACCCAUUCCACUGUGGGUGUGCUGACCCCUGCAAUUUCCGCAAAUGUGGGAAACUCAACUGCAUAAUUUGUGGUAGUGGGGGACUACAUUCAUGCUCUUCCCUG